UACCGGCGGCUCGAGUGGUGGCCGCUAUCACUGGGCGUAAAGGGUGCGUAGGCGGCUUAGUAAGUCAGAGGUGAAAGGCUACGGCUUAACCGUAGUAAGCCUUUGAAACUGCUGAGCUUGAGUGCAGGAGAGGUAAGUGGAAUUUCUAGUGUAGCGGUGAAAUGCGUAGAUAUUAGGAGGAACACCAGUGGCGAAGGCGACUUACUGGACUGUAACUGACGCUGAGGCACGAAAGCGUGGGGAGCAAACA
rnacentral:rRNA from 1 species